rnacentral:rRNA from 1 species
GACGAACGCUGGCGGCGUGCCUAAUACAUGCAAGUUGAGCGAUGAAGAUUGGUGCUUGCACCAAUUUGAAGAGCAGCGAACGGGUGAGUAACGCGUGGGGAAUCUGCCUUUGAGCGGGGGACAACAUUUGGAAACGAAUGCUAAUACCGCAUAACAACUUUAAACAUAAGUUUUAAGUUUGAAAGAUGCAAUUGCAUCACUCAAAGAUGAUCCCGCGUUGUAUUAGCUAGGUGGUGAGGUAAAGGCUCACCAAGGCGAUGAUACAUAGCCGACCUGAGAGGAUGGUCGGCCACAUUGGGACUGGGACACGGCCCAAACUCCUUCGGGAGGCAGCAGUAGUGAAUCUUCGGCAAUGGGCGAAAGUCUGACCGAGAAACGCCGAGUGAGUGAAGAAGGUUUUCGGAUCGUAAAACUCUGUUGGUAGAGAAGAACGUUGGUGAGAGUGGAAAGCUCAUCAAGUGACGGUAACUACCCAGAAAGGGACGGCUAACUACGUG